GUUCAAAUCAUAACACGAAGAUUCAAACCUAAAACGGCCGGAAACAGACUUCCUUCGUCGCGCCGGAAUCAGACUUCCUUCGUCGCGCCGGAAUCAGACUUCCUUCGUCUCCUCUGGCGGCGGCGGAGGUCGUAUCACCACCAUGAUCACAUCCUUAGAACCGUCUCGAUAUGCUAUAUCCGCAUCCUAAGUCCAUUUCUACAAAUUCCACUUUGAAUACUCAAAUUGAUUACAACAUAAUAUAAACCCUAAGAGCUUGGAGAUGAAAUUAAAUGGCGAAUUCGCGUGGAAUCAAAUGAUAAAGUUAGGGUUAUUUCUCCUCAGAAGGAUCUCUACACGAUGAUAACAAGCUCACGACGAAAAGACGGAAGAAAGAGUAACUCCGAUGUGGAGGCUUCGGCGAGAAGAUAAAUAGAAGAAGAUGAACCAGAAUUAGGCCCAAGACUGAUUUUCUAUGACAUGGCAAGUGGAUGCAUGUGGAGGCCUUUGGAGGUGCAAUGAAAUGGUGGCUGCAAAUUCGAUGAAAUAGCCCUUUUCUUCUUAAUUUUAAUCAAUGUGUUCAAAUGAUAAUGUGAUGUAAUAAAAAUAGGGAUUGACUUAUUGUAAAGAUGAUUUCAAUGCAAUGUUAAUGUUUAUGACCAAUGCAAAUCAAAA